rnacentral:rRNA from 1 species
AUACGUAGGGAGCGAGCGUUGUCCGGAAUUACUGGGUGUAAAGGGAGCGUAGGAGGGAGUGCAAGUCAGAUGUGAAAUACAUGGGCUCAACCAUGGGCUGCAUUUGAAACUGCAUUUCUUGAGUGAAGUAGAGGUAAGCGGAAUUCCUGGUGUAGUGGUGAAAUGCGUAGAUAUCAGGAGGAACACCGGUGGCGAAGGCGGCUUACUGGGCUUUUACUGACGCUGAGGCUCGAAAGCGUGGGGAGCAAACAGGAUUAGAUACCCUGGUAGUCCACGCUGUAAACGAUGAUUACUAGGUGUGGGGGGACUGACCCCUUCCGUGCCGCAGUUAACACAAUAAGUAAUCCACCUGGGGAGUACGGCCGCAAGGUUGAAACUCAAAUGAAUUGACGGGG